UACGUAGGGUGCAAGCGUUAAUCGGAAUUACUGGGCGUAAAGCGUGCGCAGGCGGUUGUGCAAGACAGAUGUGAAAUCCCCGGGCUCAACCUGGGAAUUGCAUUUGUGACUGCACGGCUAGAGUGUGUCAGAGGGGGGUAGAAUUCCACGUGUAGCAGUGAAAAUGCGUAGAGAUGUGGAGGAAUACCGAUGGCGAAGGCAGCCCCCUGGGAUAACACUGACGCUCAUGCACGAAAGCGUGGGGAGCAAACAGG
rnacentral:rRNA from 1 species